CAGCCGUAAACAAUGUGCGUUAGGUGUGUCGGUAACCACGUGUUACUGAUGCGCCGAAGAGAAAUCGUGAAACGCACCACCUGGGAAGUACGGUCGCAAGGCUGAAACUUAAAGGAAUUGGCGGGGGAGGCACCACAACAGGUGGAGCCUGCGGUUUAAUUGGAUUCAACGCCGGACAUCUCACCGGAUAAGACAGCUGAAUGAUUGUCAAUCUGAAGGUUUUACAUGACUAGCUGAGAGGUGGUGCAUGGC
rnacentral:rRNA from 1 species